GCCCUCGUGGUGAAAUGGAUAUCACAACUGCCUUCGAAGCAGUCAUUCCCCGUUCGAAUCGGGGCGAGGGCACAA
rnacentral:tRNA from 2 species